AGUCAAUGCUUCGAAACCAGCGGACCUCGCUCCAGGAGCUCUACAGCCAUGAAGGCUACCUCAGCAAGCUCAACCAGGAGCUGAUCAAGACCAUCUUGGAAACUGAGGACAGCACGGCCUUGAGCGUGCGUGAAAUGCUGCAGCAGCAGAACAUCCUCGGGCACUUCAGUGGGAGGUGGAACAGCUGAACUCUGAAAUCCGGAAGGCCAAUGAGGAGGUGAAUUUACUUAGCACCUACAUGGACCACGAGUAUCCCAUCAGGUUGGUUCAGAUUGCCAACCAUGUGCGCCUGGUGCAGCAGGCAAAGGACAGCCAGCAGGACGAGCUGGACAACCUUAGGGAGAUGCGUGAAAAAGUGAAAGAAGAGAUUCCCAUGUUAAUCUCAGAGGUGGAGCAAAUGUAUGCAGAAAUCUGGAACCCUCGAGAGGCCGUUUUUAAGGACGUCCUGCUGCAGAGACCCAAGUGCACCCCAGACAUGGCUGUUGAGCUCAACAUCCCUACGCAGGAGCUGUUCCCUUUCUAGAUAGCAGUGCUGCCUCCUCUCCUCCCUCCUCUCUUCCCAGCACCAGGGGUUUUGGCUAUUGACUUACAAGAUGGCGUCUCUAUUAUAAAUCUGAUCCACAGCCCUCCUCUACCCAUCUCCCUUGCCGCUUGGACUGAGCAGGAAUCCCCAGUCCAGCCUGCUUGUUCCUUGGUGCCAAUAAAGUUGUGUUUGUGUUUGCUUGGG
rnacentral:lncRNA from 1 species